rnacentral:rRNA from 1 species
UUGACCUCGGAUCAGGUAGGGAUACCCGCUGAACUUAAGCAUAUCAAUAAUCGGAG